rnacentral:rRNA from 1 species
AAGGAUGCAAGCGUUAUCCGGAUUCAUUGGGGUUAAAGGGAGCGUAGGUGGCUUUGUAAGUCAGUGGUGAAAUCUGGCAGCUUAACUGUUAAAUUGCCAUUGAUACUGCAGAGCUUGAGUACAGAUGCCGUUGGCGGAAUAUGACAUGUAGUGGUGAAAUACAUAGAGAUGUCAUAGAACACCGAUUGCGAAGGCAGCUGACGAAACUGUAACUGACACUGAGGCUCGAAAGUGUGGGGAUCAAACAGG